rnacentral:rRNA from 1 species
GACAGAGGAUGCGAGCGUUGUCCGGAAUUAUUGGGCGUAAAGGGCGUGUAGGCGGCCGAUCAAGUCAGGUGUGAAAUUCCAGGGCUCAACCCUGGACGUGCACUUGAAACUGGUUGGCUUGAGUACAGGAGAGGAAAGUGGAAUUCCCAGUGUAGCGGUGAAAUGCGUAGAUAUUGGGAGGAACACCAGUGGCGAAGGCGACUUUCUGGACUGUAACUGACGCUGAGGCGCGAAAGCUAGGGGAGCAAACAGG